rnacentral:tRNA from 1 species
AAGACCCUAGUAUAAACACUACAUGACACUGUCAGCAUCAAAAUAUAGGAACUAAACCUAUGGGCCUUA